GCCAGCCCGCUCAGAACUAAGGAAUUGACGGGGCCGCACAAGCGGAGGAGCAUGUGGUUUAAUUCGAUGAUACGCGAGGAACCUUACCUGGGCUCGAACGUAAGAUGACUGUAGGUGAAAGCUUACAUCUCUUCGGAGCAUUUUACGAGGUGCUGCAUGGUUGUCGUCAGCUCGUGCCGUGAGGUGUCGGGUUAAGUCCCAUAACGAGCGCAACCCCUACCUUUAGUUGCCAUCAGGUAAUGCUGGGGACUCUAAAGGAACUGCCUACGCAAGUAGUGAGGAAGGCGGGGAUGACGUCAAAUCAGCACGGCCCUUACGUCCAGGGCUACACACGUGCUACAAUGGCCGAUACAGAGGGCAGCUACCUGGUGACAGGAUGCAAAUCUCCAAAGUCGGUCUCAGUUCGGAUCGGAGUCUGCAACCCGACUCCGUGAAGUUGGAUUCGCUAGUAAUCGCGCAUCAGCCAUGGCGCGGUGAAUACGUUCCCGGGCCUU
rnacentral:rRNA from 1 species